GCCAGUGUGGUGUAGUUGUCUGAGUGUUGGACUAUAACUCGGGAGAUCAGGGUUCAAAUCCUUGCUUGGGCA